rnacentral:tRNA from 1 species
UGACUCAGUUGGUAGAGCAUGGUGUUUGCACCACCAGGGUUGUGGGUUCGAUUCCCAC